UCUCUCUCUCUCUCUCCACCCGUUCUCCUGGUCUCUCUCUCUUUCUCCCCGUUCGUAUGUUCUUUGUGUGUGUUGUGUGUGUUAUCUGUGUCUCUCUGUUCCCACCGUGUGUGUGUUUUACUUGUCUGUCUCUACCUGUUCCCUCUGUGUUUUUUUUAUUUUUAUUUAUAAUCUUUAUUCAAAGAGAUUUUUAUAUAUAUGUGACAAAAAUAAUAAAUGCAAACACGUAAAACACAAUACAUGCUGUGAGGAUAUUUAUG